AGGAGUAUAGUUCUAAUGGUAGAACAGCAGUCUCCAAAACUGCGUGUUGUGGGUUCAAAUCCUACUACUCCUGCCA
rnacentral:tRNA from 1 species